UGCGGUGGUUAUAGCGUGAGGGUCACGCCCGGUCCCAUUCCGAACCCGGUAGCUAAGCCUUACUGCGCCGAUGGUACUGCACCCUCAGGGUGUGGGAGAGUAGGUCACUGCCGCAC
rnacentral:rRNA from 1 species